GAGUUUGAUCAUGGCUCAGGAUGAACGCUGGCGGCGUGCUUAACACAUGCAAGUCGAACGAAGCAUUUUGAUUUGAUUCUUCGGAUGAAGAUCUUAAUGACUGAGUGGCGGACGGGUGAGUAACGCGUGGGUGACCUGCCUUAUACUGGGGGAUAGCAGCUGGAAACGGCUGGUAAUACCGCAUAAGCGCACAGUGCUGCAUGGCACAGUGUGAAAAACUCCGGUGGUAUAAGAUGGACCCGCGUCUGAUUAGCUAGUUGGUGAGGUAACGGCCCACCAAGGCAACGAUCAGUAGCCGGCCUGAGAGGGUGAACGGCCACAUUGGGACUGAGACACGGCCCAGACUCCUACGGGAGGCAGCAGUGGGGAAUAUUGCACAAUGGAGGAAACUCUGAUGCAGCGACGCCGCGUGAGUGAAGAAGUAUUUCGGUAUGUGAAGCUCUAUCAGCAGGGAAGAUAGUGACGGUACCUGACUAAGAAGCACCGGCUAAGUACGUGCCAGCAGCCGCGGUAAUACGUAUGGUGCAAGCGUUAUCCGGAUUUACUGGGUGUAAAGGGAGUGUAGGUGGCAUGGCAAGUCAGAAGUGAAAGCCCAGGGCUCAACCCUG
rnacentral:rRNA from 1 species